GGACCCGCACAAGCGGUGGAGCAUGUGGUUUAAUUCGAUGCAACGCGAAAAAACCUUACCUACUCUUGACAUACUUGGGAGCUCUUGUAAUGAGAGUGUGCCUUAUGGAACCAAGAUACAGGUGCUGCAUGGCUGUCGUCAGCUCGUGUCGUGAGAUGUUCCGUUAAGUCGGAUAACGAGCGCAACCCUUACCCUUAUUUGCCAGCGAUUCGGUCGGGAACUAUAAGGGGACUGCCGGUGAUAAACCGGAGGAAGGUGAGGACGACGUCAAGUCAUCAUGGCCCUUACGAGUAGGGCUACACACGUGCUCAAUGGGGAAAUACAGACGGACGCUAAAGCCGCGAGGUGGUG
rnacentral:rRNA from 1 species